rnacentral:rRNA from 1 species
CCUACGGGUGGCAGCAGUGGGGAAUAUUGGACAAUGGGGGCAACCCUGAUCCAGCCAUGCCGCGUGUGUGAAGAAGGCCCUCGGGUUGUAAAGCACUUUCAGUGAGGAAGAACGCCUGGUGGUUAAUACCCAUCAGGAAAGACAUCACUCACAGAAGAAGCACCGGCUAACUCCGUGCCAGCAGCCGCGGUAAUACGGAGGGUGCGAGCGUUAAUCGGAAUUACUGGGCGUAAAGCGCGCGUAGGUGGCUUGAUAAGCCGGUUGUGAAAGCCCCGGGCUCAACCUGGGAACGGCAUCCGGAACUGUCAAGCUAGAGUGCAGGAGAGGAAGGUGGAAUUCCCGGUGUAGCGGUGAAAUGCGUAGAGAUCGGGAGGAAUACCAGUGGCGAAGGCGGCCUUCUGGACUGACACUGACACUGAGGUGCGAAAGCGUGGGUAGCAAACAGGAUUAGAUACCCGUGUAGUC